rnacentral:rRNA from 1 species
GACGCCGGCGGCUGCCUUACACAUGCAGUCGAACGGCAGCACGGGAGCAUCCUGGUUGGCGAGUGGCGAACGGGUGAGUAUAUAUCGGAACGUGCCCAGUCGUGGGGGAUAACGCAGCGAAAGCUGUGCUAAUACCGCAUACGAUCUACGGACGAAAGCGGGGGAUCGCAAGACCUCGCGCGAUUGGAGCGGCCGAUAUCAGAUUAGCUAGUUGGUGGGGUAAAGGCCCACCAAGGCGACGAUCUGUAGCUGGUCUGAGAGGACGACCAGCCACACUGGAACUGAGACACGGUCCAGACUCCUACGGGAGGCAGCAGUGGGGAAUUUUGGACAAUAGGCGCAAGCCUGAUCCAGCAAUGCCGCGUGCAGGAUGAAGGCCUUCGGGUUGUAAACUGCUUUUGUACGGAACGAAACGGUGAGCUCUAAUAAAGUUUGCUAAUGACGGUACCGUAAGAAUAAGCACCGGCUAACUACGUGCCAGCAGCCGCGGUAAUACGUAGGGUGCGAGCGUUAAUCGGAAUUACUGGGCGUAAAGCGU